rnacentral:rRNA from 1 species
CGUAGGGUGCAAGCGUUGUCCGGAAUUAUUGGGCGUAAAGAGCUCGUAGGCGGUUUGUCGCGUCGAAUGUGAAAACCCGGGGCUCAACCCCGGGCCUGCAUUCGAUACGGGCAGACUAGAGUUCGGUAGGGGAGUCUGGAAUUCCUGGUGUAGCGGUGAAAUGCGCAGAUAUCAGGAGGAACACCGCGGGCGGAGGCGGGACUCUGGGCCGAUACUGACGCUGAGGAGCGAAAGCGUGGGGAGCAAACAGG